rnacentral:rRNA from 1 species
AUACGAAGGGGGCUAGCGUUGUUCGGAAUCACUGGGCGUAAAGCGCACGUAGGUGGAUCAAUCAGUUGAGGGUGAAAUCCCGGGGCUCAACCUCGGAACUGCCUUCAAUACUGUUGGUCUUGAGUCCGGGAGAGGUGAGUGGAAUUCCUAGUGUAGAGGUGAAAUUCGUAGAUAUUAGGAAGAACACCAGUGGCGAAGGCGGCUCACUGGCUCGGUACUGACGCUGAGGUGCGAAAGCGUGGGGAGCAAACAGAAUUAGAAACCCUAGUAGUCC